rnacentral:rRNA from 1 species
AACCUGCCCAAGAGAUCGGGAUAACACCUGGAAACAGAUGCUAAUACCGGAUAACAACAGAUGAUGCCUAUCAACUGUUUAAAAGAUGGUUCUGCCAUCACUCUUGGAUGGACCUGCGGUGCAUUAGCUAGUUGGUAGGGUAACGGCCUACCAAGGCGAUGAUGCAUAGCCGAGUUGAGAGACUGAUCGGCCACAUUGGGACUGAGACACGGCCCAAACUCCUACGGGAGGCAGCAGCC